rnacentral:rRNA from 1 species
UACAGAGGGUGCGAGCGUUAAUCGGAUUUACUGGGCGUAAAGCGUGUGUAGGUGGCUACCUAAGUCGAUUGUGAAAUCCCUGGGCUCAACCUGGGAAUUGCAGUCGAUACUGGGAAGCUCGAGUUCGGUAGAGGACGGCGGAAUUCCCGGUGUAGUGGUGAAAUGCGUAGAUAUCGGGAGGAACACCAGUGGCGAAGGCGACUACCUGGCCUGUUCUUGACGCUGAGGCGCGAAAGCUAGGGGAGCAAACGGG